CAAUUGCUCCAAAAUGCAAAUUCACUUCAUGGGUUUGAAACUACAAACUUGUAGACGUCUAAUUAAUGUGACUAUUCAGCUCACAGUAAUAAUGCACUAGAUAAGGUGUAUCCACAUAAGCUUGACAUCCAUCAAUGCCCAAGAGGACCAUCCUUAUUGAGAAACAGUCAGCUGAGAUUGGAUGCUCCCUGGUGUUUCUGUUUCUUGUAUUAUUUGCUACACAAGUUAAUUCUCCAAAUAAUACAAUAAUUUACUACAUAUCAAAAAGAAUAGGCGCGUGAGCACAUCUAGUCAGAAAUGGCGCGCUUUCACAACGGUCGAUUGUGCCAUUGUAAGGGAUUUGUUUUUCCCCUGACAGAAGAUUGCAGCAGCGGAUGGCGACCCUGAGUGCACGUUGGAAAAAGUACGCGAACCCUUGGAUUUUAUAACUGGUUGACCUCCUUCGGUAGCAGCAGUAAGAGGAUUGUGUAAGAAGAUCUUAUAAGAGGAAGAGCAGUGAGAAAAAGUGCGUGGUGGGAAAAAGUAUGUGAACCCUUGACCUCCUUUGGUAGCAGCAUUAAGAAGGUUGUGUAAGAAGAUCUCAGUGAGUUUGAACAUCUGCAGAAAAAGUAUGUGAACUCUUUGGAAUGAUCAUUACAUUUGAUCUGUAUAUCAGCAAGAGAAAAACAUUGAUCAUAUUUCAUGCCUAUACUGAAUAAACCAUGUAAACAUUUGCAGUGUGUGGUGGGAAAAAGUAUGUGAACCCUUGGAUUGUAUAACUGGUAGACCUCGUUCGGUAGCAGCCUUAACCUGUAUGUUUCCUGUAAUUGCACAUCAGACCUCACAACAGUCAGCGUCUUAGAAAACUAUUUCAGGUUAGUCAUAUUUUUCACACUCUCUGGUUUGAAUCGCCCCUUUGAGAUCAUACCAAAACAUCUCAAUCGCGCUCAGGUCAAGACUCUGACUGGGAUACUCCAGAAAGCGUAUUUCCUUCUUUUGAUGUUGCCGUGUUGUGCCUUUUUUAUCCUUUUUUCCAAACAACUUUGGUCUUUCUGAGCACACAAUAUUUUUCUCUUAUUCUUAUUCCUUUACUUCAGGUUACUUUCCUCCUCUCAGUUGGUUUAACCCUAAAUGACUCUCUUUUUCUCCUGACAAAAAAUUGAAAAGCCAGCUGCGACUUUAAUUUUGUUUGAAAUCUGUUGAUAGAUU